rnacentral:tRNA from 1 species
GGGGACGUGGCGAAAUGGUAGACGCACCGGACUUAAAAUCCGUUGGAGCAAUCCGUGUGGGUUCGAGUCCCACCGUCCCUACCA